rnacentral:lncRNA from 1 species
UUUGAGUGAUACCUUUUUAGAAACUGUUUUCAUAAAUCUUCCUAAUGAUCAAAUAAAAAAUGGGUGUCUUUCGCCUAAUUUUUUCGUAAAAUCUAAUCACAAAGUUCGUGCGACAAAAAGUUGGAAAAAAACAUUACAAAAAUUGCCGGACCAAUGUAUGGUAUGGACAUACAAAUACGGACUGUCAUACAGAAAACAGCCUAUAUUACAUACAUUAUAUGAUCUUGAUGUUCAUAUAAACCCAAUACGAAGGCUAUUUUAAUACUCAGCUAUCCAAAAAUGAAUUUUAUUGCACACUAGCUCUUAUAUUUGAAAAAUCCUCAGGGGCCAAAAUGCGAAACUACACAUCUAACUGUGGAGUGCUGCCUUUACUGGGACUCCGGGAUCGGGUGUUUUUAAGCUCGGGAUUUCGGGAUUGACCCUUUCGGAUCCGGGAAUUCUUUUUUUCGGAUUACGGGACGUCGGGAUUUACUUUAUUUAAAUUCGGGAUUUCGAGAUUUCGUGUUUUUGAGCCCGGGAUUUCUGGAUCAGGACCCCUCCUAUCCCCUCUCAGUUAUUCUCUUUAAAUACAGAAUUAUUAUAUCAUUAUUAUUAUGCAAAUAUUCUACUUUUGGGAUCUGGCCACGUCUACAGUUCC